rnacentral:rRNA from 1 species
UACGAAGGGGGCGAGCGUUGUUCGGAUUUACUGGGCGUAAAGGGCGCGCAGGCGGCUCCAAAAGUCAGGCGUGAAAGCCCCGGGCUUAACCUGGGAACUGCGUUUCUAACUGGCAGGCUUGAGUGUGGCAGAGGGGGGUGGAAUUCCACGUGUAGCAGUGAAAUGCGUAGAGAUGUGGAGGAACACCGAUGGCGAAGGCAGCCCCCUGGGCUAACACUGACGCUCAUGCACGAAAGCGUGGGGAGCAAACAGG